GAGUUUUGAUCAUGGCUCAGGAUGAACGCUAGCUACAGGCUUAACACAUGCAAGUCGAGGGGCAGCAUGAACUUAGCUUGCUAAGUUUGAUGGCGACCGGCGCACGGGUGAGUAACACGUAUCCAACCUGCCGAUGACUCGGGGAUAGCCUUUCGAAAGAAAGAUUAAUACCCGAUGGCAUAGUUCUUCCGCAUGGUAGAACUAUUAAAGAAUUUCGGUCAUCGAUGGGGAUGCGUUCCA
rnacentral:rRNA from 1 species